UGGCGUUGAUCUCCUUCGGACGAGGGUUGGGGCUGUUAUUCACCAUCGAUGAUGGUGACAUAAUCACAAGGCAACAAGGUUUUUGGGUUCCAGUGGUUGACCGAUGGAAACCAAUUUCGAUUUCGGAAUCCAUUAUGACAAAUCUCCGAUGAUUGUUACCGAUUUUGAAUUUUCUAUGUGAUUAGUUUUUGGGUCGUUGUCUUGCACCAGUAGCGAUGGAGAAGAAGACUUCGAAAGCUUUAACAUUUCCACACCACCACAAUCAGCGGUCAGCUUGCUGAGUGGAUUUCUUCUACAACUUUUCUUCCAAGUUCUGCUUCUAGAGUUCAUCGAUUGUUACUCCGUCACCCGCUUCACGAGUGAAACGUCGAUCCCAGAUUCUAUGAUUCCUUUCUAUUUGUUUCUAAUUUUGCUUGGUUUGGUUUUGUUUUCUAGGUUUUGAUUGCAGCUAUCAAUGAUACAGAUUGCAAAUACCAGUGGGAACUUAUCGCCCCUACUAAAGAAGGUCAAAUAAACCCUAAUGUUUCUACGGUUCCAUUCUAUUUGUUUGUAAUUUUGAUUUCUUUGGUUUUGCUUUCCAGAUUUUGAUUAUAGUUGUUCAUGAUCAAGAUGGUAUGAUUAAUUUCUUUAUUAAACAUCCAUUUCAUUUCAUUAUUCAAUGUCUUCAUUCUUUCUUCUUCCAUGUACUAUUGCUAAUAAUCUCUUAAUUUCUAUCUAUGUUGGAAUGCCACACCAUCUCUUUGGCACAAUCAGCCAUAUGGUUGACUUCAUUGCAAAUGAUUUUAGGGAUUCUACAAAUUUCUCCUAUGUAAAAAAAAAGAUUGUCAGUUUAGUGCCUUCAUUGAUGUUUUAGGAUUCUCCUAUAAUAACUAAAGAAAAACAACCAUUAACGAUUGAAAAACUUAAUUCUCAAGUAAUAGGUUCUAACUUCUAAUUAUUUAUCUGUUAUAUAAGUUUUAUGAUAUAAUCACUUAUGCCAUUUCUGAGUAAAAUAAAAAUCAUAUACUUUGUUCCACUUUAGCACCAAUAUUAUGUUGGAAUAGUGUCUAAGCCCGUAACUAUAUUUGGUAUGUACUUGACCCGGUUGUGCAUGGUCCUUUUGGGUUGCCUUCUCCAAAGCAACUUGACAAGGUAAUUUAAGGAGAAAGAGAGAGUAUUAUGAUUUAUUAAUAUAUUAUAAGAAUAAUAUAUUAAAGGAGAAUUCAUAUUUAUUUAAUUAGUAUUGAUCAUAAAUUAAUUAAGAAUUAAUUUAGUGGUCAAAAGAGAUUAAUUGAAUAAAGGGGUAUAAACUGUCAAAUGUGUGAUAGUUGAGUUUUAGGUUAAGGAAACCUAAUGGGAUUAAGUGGGGAGCGAAAUUAUGAUGGGUAACCAUCAUAUUUUCGUCCAAGAGCCUUAUUCCAGAAGGUUCCAUGGGCUGCUUGGUGGCUAAGCUGUCCAUUAGGGUUUAGACUGAAACCCUAGUAACCUGUAAGUAUAAAUAUGACCCCUAGGGCAUGAAUUCGGCUACCACUUGAUUCUAAGAGUACCCUAGGCCGAUUUCUAGCCUCUCUCUCCCUCUCUCAUAUUGCCUUCUUGCUUGUGGGGUUUGUGAACCAUUAGAGGAGUUGCAUUUGUGACUCUAAGCUCAAAAGAAGAAGAUAGACAAGAUCUAAGCCAACAAUUGAAGAGGUAAACAUCUAGAUCUGAUUCUAUAUGUUAGUUAUGUUGUUUAUAUGCUAGAUUAGGGUUUGUAAGUCUUGGAAUCAAAGCAUGUUCAAUAGUGAAACCUAGAUCCAAGCAUUAGGGUUUGUAUGAGCACAUAGGAAUGUUUCUUAUGCAUAAAACCCAUCAGUGGUAUCAGAGCUUUGAUUGGUUUCAGUUGUAUGUGAUGCUUAACUGCUUUAUUUGCUGAGAAAACGAUUUUUGGUCCCUGCCCGACUCAACUCGGCGAGUCACUACCUGGACUCGGCGAGUUGGCCCCUACUCGGCGAGUCCAGGCCUGACUCGGCGAGUCAGUUCGUCAGAAUUAGGGUUUUUCGGGUUUUUGGCUGCUGUUUUGACUUGGACUUGAUGCUUAAUUGGUUUAUGAAGUUAAAAUCCGAAUUUUAUCUAUAUUAAGUGUUUAUCCUUGCCAAAAGAAUAGAUAAUUUCAAAUCUUUUUAAAUAUUAGUUAUUCAUGUGAUAAAUAUGGAUUAUUUAAAAAUUAUUUGGUAAUUAUCUAAUGACUAAAAUUAAGAUUAGGUCAAAUAUAGAUAAUUAUGAAAUUAAUUGGUUAAUUUGAAUUAUUUGUUAUUUGAUCCCUUAUGUUUUGAAAAGUUCAAAACUUGCCCUCAAGUUUUGAAAUUUGAAUUUUGUAAUUAAAAGUUUAAUUUUGAAUAAUUUAAAUUUCAAACCCUUAGAAUUUUACAAGUUUAAAAUUCAACCCUAUACUAUUAUAUAUUAUUACAAGCUUAAUUAAUAUAUAUAUAUAUAUAACUUAAAAUGCUAGUCUUACCGUUAGUAGGCCUCAUUCACGAAGUCGGUCUAUAAGGUGGGUAUAAGGUUGCUGCCUAUAAAAUGGCGCUUAAUGGGUGUACACUCACACCUACCGCUUGCUUGACUGGUGGAGGGUCGUUAGCCGAACGGGUAGGAUAGGGCAACCCUCUACUCAUUAAAAGUAUAAUGUUGAAUACAAAGUAACUACAUGAUUUUUGCAAAUUCCCAUUCCUAGUUACUUUAGGGUAAAAUGUGAAAAUGAUGCUAAUCCAUGGAAUUACACUUCGUACCCUUGUCAAACGUUGAUGGAGCGCGUGUGGUUAACCGGCACAUCAAUUUGGGGAUGACAUAGGUAGCGAAGGGUGACUCGAUGUUUGUCAUAGAUCAAUGGAGCGUGUGUGGUUUACCGGCACAUUGAUUAGGUGAUAGUGACAUUGAGUGCACCACGUUAAUUCGCAUGGUUAUUCACAAAUUUGUUUGCGAUCCUCGGCAUCCCAGUCGCAAAUUUGAAAUGCAUAUCGAGAUUUAAACAUGCCAUUGAAAAGUUCAAUGAAUCUCAAAGAUCUAGGAGUUUUCAAUACAUUUAAAACCUAAAUUGCUUUUUCGUUUUUCAUGGUGAGAAUUAGUGAAUCGUCAUUCACUUACCUUCAAAUUAUUUACUUUUAGAGUACGGCAUCCCUUUCUAAGUUGUAAAUAAUGUUGUUGGAUCCUAGCCCUAAUUUCUCAUUUUGGUGUUUAAUUAGGUAUUCAAUUCUAAUCAAACUUAGUUCCUUUCUUUUUCAGAUGUCUGCAAACAACAACAACAACAACGGUUCUGGGUCAUUCUCAUUGAUGAACUUGUGUCAGAAAGUGACAUUUGAUGGUUCAAACUUCAACGAGUGGAUGAGGUAUAUUUGCAUGAUCACACGCUACGAGGACAAGGAAUAUGUCCUCGAUGAAAAGCUUGAGAAGAUCAUCCCAGAUGUUGCUACUCCUGAGGAAUUGGCCGCCUUUGAGGCCCACGAGCGUGAUGCCACGAAAGUUCACUGCAUCAUGCUGGCCACCAUGAACCUCGAACUCCAAAAGUCCUAUGAGGACAUGUAUCCAUAUGAAAUGCAUCAGGAUUUGCUGGACAGGUAUCACCAGAGCGCGAGGCAAGAGCGCUAUGAGAUCAUUACUAACAUGAUCACCGCUAAGAUGGGGAGUGGAGAAUCCCUAACCUCUCAUUUGCAGAAAAUGCAGAGGUAUGUUGAUCGUCUUCUCAAACUUAAUGUUAAGUUUGAUGAGGAUUUGGCUAUCGACAUAAUCCUCCACUCCUUGCCCUCCUGCUACAAUCAGUUUAGGAUGACCUACCAUAUGAACAAAGAGGAGGUCUCCUUGAGCAAGCUCCAAGGACUCUUGAGGACUGCUGAGAGCAACCUCAAAGACAAAUCCGUUGCACCGUCACCUGCUGUGGCCGCUCCCGUGAUGGCGAUAGGUCAAGGAAAGGGUAAAAAGAGGAAGGCUCCAUGUAAGAGCCACCAUAAGGGGAAACCCCGUGAUGGUUCGUCAUCAAGUGGGACCAAAGCAGGCCCCAUUAAACCCUCUUCCGAUCCUAAAGAAGCAGAGUGCUUCUAUUGCCACCAAAAGGGCCACUGGAAGCGAAGCUGCCCACAAUAUCUGCAGGACAUAAGAGAUGGGAAGAUCAAGCCCACAUUUGCAGGUAUGUAUUCUAUUAAAUCUAAUAACUCAUCAUUUGCUACUUCAUGGGUUCUUGAUACAGGAUGUGGUUACCACAUUUGUUCUGAUUUGCAGGGCCUAAAAAGAAGUAGGGAGAUGGAGCAUGGGAAGAUGAACCUGAUUAUGGGAAACAGAAGAUCGUCGCCUGUGACCAAAGUCGGUGUUUAUUCUUUAGUGUUGAGUAAUGGGUUAGGAAUAGAUUUAGAGAAUUGCUGUUAUUCGCCAGAUAUGGCAAGAAACAUUAUUUCUUUUCACGGGUUGUUUAGACAAGGUUUCAGAUAUUCUUUUGAUAAUAAUAAUGGUUCUAUUAAUGUUUAUUUGAAUGGUGUCUUUUAUUUCAAUGCAUUACCUUGUAAUGGGAUUUAUGAAUCUGUGAUGAUUGUUGAUAAUUUUGGAAAUAAUGUUUUGAAUAUUGAUUCGUCUACUAGUCUAGACAAAGCAUGCUUGUGGCAUUGUCGCCUUGGCCAUGUCAACAAGAAACGCAUAGCCCAACUCCAAAAGGAUGGAGUGUUGGAGUCAUUCGACCUUAGGGACGAUGACACGUGUGAGUCUUGUUUACUUGGGAAGAUGACCAAGUCACCCUUUACUGGCACUUGUGAAAGGGGUGAGGGUUUAUUGGAUCUCAUACACACCGAUGUGUGUGGGCCCUUUAGAUCCACCACAAGGGAUGCUUGCCGCUUCUACGUGACUUUUACAGAUGAUUAUAGCAGAUAUGGAUAUAUCUACUUGAUCAAGCAAAAGUCGGAAACCUUUGAAAAGUUCAAAGAGUUUAAGAAUGAAGUGGAGAAUCAGCUGGGCAGGAAAAUCAAGAUGCUUCGGUCAGACCGAGGAGGAGAGUACCUAAGUCUUGAGUUUCACGACUAUCUAAAAGAAUGUGGAAUCGUUUCGCAAUUGACGCCUCCGAGAACGCCACAAUUGAAUGGUGUGGCUGAGAGACGUAAUCGGACCUUGUUGGACAUGGUUCGUUCUAUGAUGAGUCGGACUUCGCUACCAAUAGCUUUCUGGGGGUAUGCCUUAGAGACUGCCGCCCAUAUACUUAACUUAGUUCCCACUAAGAAGGUUUCCAAGACUCCUCACGAGAUGUGGACAGGGAAGGCUCCCUCGUUGGCACAUAUCAAGGUUUGGGGUUGUGAGGCUUUCGUAAGACGAGAGACUCACGACAAACUAGAACCUCGUAGUGAGAAGUGUUAUUUCAUCGGCUAUCCGCAGAAGUCUUUUGGCUACCUUUUCUAUAGACCGAGUGACAAUGUUGUCUUCGUUGCUAGAAGAGGGGUUUUCCGAGAAAGGGAAUUAAUAAGCCAAGAAGACAGUGGGAGGCAAAUUGAACUUGAAGAAAUUCAAGAUCAAAGCGAUGAAGGAACCUCGGACACUGGCACUCAACUUGAGGAGGAAACUCCUGUUGAACCUAUUGACGAGUCCCUACCUCUUCGACGUUCCACUAGGGCUAGUGUUCCACCCCAGUUUUAUGGUUUUCAUAUUACUACUGAAGGGGAUACAUUUAUUAGUGAUAGUACACUAGUAAAUUUGGAUGAACCUAGCAGCUAUAAGGAAGCCAUGGCAGGCCCGGAGUCUGCAAAAUGGAAAGAGGCUAUGGACAGCGAGAUUCAGUCCAUGUACGACAACCAAGUUUGGAAUUUGGUUGAUAAUGUACCGGGUCGUAAGACAGUCGGGUGCAAGUGGAUCUUCAAGAAGAAGACGGACAUGGAUGGGAAAGUGCAUACUUAUAAAGCGCGAUUGGUUGCGAAGGGCUUUACUCAAACUCCCGGAGUUGACUAUGAUGAGACCUUCUCACCAGUUGCGAAGAUAAAGUCUAUUAGGGUGAUGCUUGCCAUAGCUGCGUUUCAUGAUUAUGAAAUAUGGCAGAUGGACGUGAAAACCGCUUUCCUUAAUGGAAAGUUGGCUGAGGAUGUCUACAUGAAUCAGCCAGAGGGUUUUGUCGAUGUGAAGCAUCCGAAUAGAGUAUGCAAGCUUGAGAAAUCUAUUUAUGGAUUGAAACAAGCAUCUCGCAGAUGGAAUCUUUGUUUUGACGAGAAGGUUAAAGAGUUUGGCUUUCUGCGAAGCGAAGAUGAAUCUUGUGUGUAUGUCAAAGCCAGUGGGAGUAUAGUAAGCUUCCUCGUAUUGUAUGUCGACGACAUACUACUCAUAGGAAACGAUGUCCCAACCUUGCAGGAAGUCAAGUCCUGGCUUGGGAAAUGCUUCGCUAUGAAGGACCUCGGAGAAGCCGCUUAUAUUCUGGGAAUAAGAAUAGUAAGAAACAGGGAAAAGAGACUGAUAGGACUCAGUCAGGAUACAUACUUGGAAAAGGUACUAAAGCGUUUUAGUAUGGAAAAUUCCAAGAAAGGGGAGUUGCCAAUCCAAAGCAAUACCAAGCUGAGUAAGACUCAGAGCCCGAGUACAGAGACAGAGAUAGCUGAUAUGAGCCGAGUACCUUACGCUUCCGCAGUAGGCUCUAUCAUGUACGCUAUGACUUGUACUCGCCCUGAUGUGGCCUUCGCUUUGAGCAUGGUCAGCAGAUAUCAAGGGAACCCUGGUAGAGCACAUUGGAUUGCAGUUAAGAAUAUUCUUAAGUACCUUCGGAGGACCAAGGAAUGGUUUCUAGUCCUCGGUGGGAGUGAUGACUUAAGGGUACGAGGGUACAGUGAUGCUAGUUUUCAGACGGAUCGGGAUAACUUCCGAUCGCAGUCGGGCUGGGUCUUUACCCUAAAUGGAGGAGCAGUGACUUGGAAAAGUUCCAAGCAAGAGACCGUAGCUGAUUCAACGUGCGAAUCAGAGUAUAUUGCGGCGAGCGAAGCGUCAAAGGAGGCUAUAUGGUUGAAGAACUUCAUUGGAGACCUUGGAGUUGUGCCAUCCAUAAAGGAGCCGAUGGAAAUUUUCUGUGAUAAUGAAGGAGCGGUUGCCUUGACCAAGGAACCGAGAGAUCAUGGCAGAUCUCGACAUAUUGACAGAAAAUACCAUUUCAUCAGACAUCGGGUAGAAGAGGGACUCCUCGUUGUGAAGAGGGUAUCAUCAGAAGAGAACCCAGCAGAUCCCCUUACGAAGGGACUGAGUAGGGUCAAACACUUGCAGCACGCUAGGAGCAUUGGGCUGAAGGAUGAUAUAAGUUUGGAUUAGAUAGGAAAUGUGUAAUAGAUAGUUUGUACUUGACAUUUGAUGAAUAAGUAAAAAUUGUGUUAUUUAUGAGUAAAGUUACUAGCUUAUGUUUCCAUUUUGCAUGUUUUGACUUCCUGAAUGAUAUGAUUAUUCAAAAGGUCCACAGUCGGUCAUAUUUUGGAAGUAGGUAUGAAUGAAGACUGUCAUGAAUUGUUUUGUAGAUUGUCUAAAAGGUUUUGGACAUAGCAAAGGUUUGCCGCAAAGUUCAUGAGUGCUUGUGAAUAUGAGUUGAGCAUUGGAAUAAACCCGAGUUUGCUGUAUCACUUAGUGGUGUUUUAUCUUAAGUGAUCGCAAAGCGAUAACAUCAUAUAGUCUUAAAACUUAGAGAUAUGGUUGUUGUUUGCUGGUUGGUUAUACAUUGAUAAUGUGUAAACGCAUCAGUAACUUGAUGAUAUAAAACACAUUAUUGUGUGUGAUCCAUUAGUAAAUAAUAGAUGCAUAUGAGUCGAAGUUGAUCUGUUCCUUUUAUUCUAUGAGAAUAAAAGUGAUAUAUUGGCCACUUGAUGAUUUGGUUUGACUUAUGUGUCGGGCCCGGUCAGAAUGAAGUUGAUGUGUUCAACUAAAUUCUAUGUCAAACAAAUCGGAAAUCAAGGAACUACUGCUGGACAAUAAGCAUUGUCAGCAUGAUAUCCAGAACAGAGGAUUAUACGAUCCCUUAUCUAAAGGACAAGUUGAUCAGAGUUGACAGCGAAGUAUAAGAGCUACGAUUGCUAAUCGGAUUCUGAAGUCAUAUGUGAGAUAUAGUUACUAGACUUAUCCAAGUGGGAGACUGUUGGAAUAGUGUCUAAGCCCGUAACUAUAUUUGGUAUGUACUUGACCCGGUUGUGCAUGGUCCUUUUGGGUUGCCUUCUCCAAAGCAACUUGACAAGGUAAUUUAAGGAGAAAGAGAGAGUAUUAUGAUUUAUUAAUAUAUUAUAAGAAUAAUAUAUUAAAGGAGAAUUCAUAUUUAUUUAAUUAGUAUUGAUCAUAAAUUAAUUAAGAAUUAAUUUAGUGGUCAAAAGAGAUUAAUUGAAUAAAGGGGUAUAAACUGUCAAAUGUGUGAUAGUUGAGUUUUAGGUUAAGGAAACCUAAUGGGCUUAAGGGGGAACGAAAUUAUGAUGGGUAACCAUCAUAUUUUCGUCCAAGGGUCUUAUUCCAGAAGGUUCCAUGGGCUGCUUGGUGGCUAAGCUAUCCAUUAGGGUUUAGACUGAAACCCUAGUAACCUGUAAGUAUAAAUAUGACCCCUAGGGCAUGAAUUCGGCCACCACUUAAUUCUAAGAGUACCCUAGGCCGAUUUCUAGUCUCUCUCUCUCUCCCUCUCUCAUAUUGCCUUCUUGCUUGUGGGGUUUGUGAACCAUUAGAGGAGUUGCAUUUGUGACUCUAGGCUCAAAAGAAGAAGAUAGACAAUAUCUAAGCCAACAAUUGAAGAGGUAAACAUCUAGAUCUGAUUCUAUAUGUUAUUUUUGUUGUUUAUAUGCUAGAUUAGGGUUUGUAAGUCUUGGAAUCAAAGCAUGUUCAAUAGUGAAACCUAGAUCCAAGCAUUAGGGUUUGUAUGAGCACAUAGGAAUGUUUCUUAUGCAUAAAACCCAUCAUAUUAAUCUUUUUGUACCACUUGUCAUAUACAGGGUGUUUGGAUGUGUCUCAAAACAGAAUAUAGAUAACUGAUAUUGGCAAAACAUGUUUACAAUUGAGAUACUCAUUGAAAAUUACCAGUUUUUCAGAGUUAAGAGUGGCCGAAAUAAAUGUCAGCGUGAUGCUUGGAAUAAUUUGCCUUUUCUAUUUUUUUAAACUUUGCUCUUUUUUCCUAAGAGUUUAAGAUUAAAAUGGAUAAUAUCAUAUGUUUGCGUAAUUAGUUAAUAUAAAACAAUUAUAAGUUGUGUGAAUGAUAAUAUAAUAACUGUUGUAAUUAGUAUUAGAUGAUGCAAUCUAUUUUUUGAGUAUAUUAUAGAAAUUGUCAUUAUGCUUUAUUUAAACUCAUUUAAUUCUUUUAAUCUCAGAUUGAUUUUCAUAUCCUAAAGCAUUGGGCAGAACCUUUAGUAUAUGGCUCUCGGGAUGAUUGUUCUACCAACUUAAAUACAAUUCUUGAAUGAUCUCCAUUUGUUACAAAUGAUGACCUUAUGCAACAGGUUUAUUUAUAUUCAAAAACUUUAUUAUUUUUCUAUUUUUAAAUAAUGUAUAUUUUCAUAAAAAAAUCUCUUAUUGGAGUGUUAGAAGGGA
rnacentral:lncRNA from 1 species